rnacentral:rRNA from 1 species
UACAGGGGGUGCAAACGUUGCUCGGAAUUAUUGGGCGUAAAGAGCGUGUAGGCGGCCACGCAGGUCCGUUGUGAAAACUGGAGGCUCAACCUCCAGCUGUCGACGGAAACCGUAUGGCUAGAGUCCGGAAGAGGAGAGUGGAAUUCCUGGUGUAGCGGUGAAAUGCGCAGAUAUCAGGAAGAACACCUAUGGCGAAGGCAGCUCUCUGGGACGGUACUGACGCUGAGGCGCGAAAGCGUGGGGAGCAAACAGG